rnacentral:rRNA from 1 species
CCUACGGGAGGCAGCAGUAAGGAAUAUUGGUCAAUGGACGCAAGUCUGAACCAGCCAUGCCGCGUGCAGGAUGACGGCCCUCUGGGUUGUAAACUGCUUUUAUAGGGGACGAAAAAAGGGCUUUCUAGCUCGUCUGACGGUACCCUAGGAAUAAGCACCGGCUAACUCCGUGCCAGCAGCCGCGGUAAUACGGAGGGUGCAAGCGUUAUCCGGAUUUACUGGGUUUAAAGGGUGCGUAGGUGGGUCGGUAAGUCAGCGGUGAAAUCUUCGAGCUUAACUCGGAAACUGCCAUUGAUACUAUCGAUCUUGAAUCAUCUGGAGGUAAGCGGAAUAUGUCAUGUAGCGGUGAAAUGCUUAGAUAUGACAUAGAACACCAAUUGCGAAGGCAGCUUACUACGGAUGCAUUGACACUGAGGCACGAAAGCGUGGGGAUCAAACAGGAUUAGAUACCCUGGUAGUCCACGCCCUAAACGAUGGAUACUCGACAUUUGAGAUAUACUUUAAGUGUNUGAGNGAGANAUAGUAUACCACCGNGGUAAGUAGAGUUGNGAGAUUAGUAAUUAAUUAGAGUAGAGNGNGAGAGNGCGAGACGACGACGAGGAGGAGG